GACGUAGGGUGCGAGCGUUGUCCGGAUUUAUUGGGCGUAAAGAGCUCGUAGGCGGCUCGUCGCGUCGACCGUGAAAACCCGCGGCUUAACUGCGGGCUUGCGGUUGAUACGGGCGGGCUAGAGUUCGGUAGGGGAGACUGGAAUUCUAUGUGGAGGGGUGAAAUCCGUUGAUCUAUAGAGUACCACCAAAAGGCGAAGGCAAUUGACUAUUCCAUUUCUGACGUUGAGGCAUGAAAGCGUGGGGAGCAAACCGG
rnacentral:rRNA from 1 species